CCUACGGGAGACAGCAGUAGGGAAUAUUGCUCAAUGGGGGGAACCCUGAUCCAGCGACGCCGCGUGAGUGAAGAAGUAUUUCGGUAUGUAAAGCUCUAUCAGCAGGGAAGAAAGAAAUGACGGUACCUGACUACGAAGCCCCGGCUAACUACGUGCCAGCAGCCGCGGUAAUACGUAGGGGGCAAGCGUUAUCCGGAUUUACUGGGUGUAAAGGGAGCGUAGACGGCGAUGCAAGUCUGAAGUGAAAGGCGGGGGCCCAACCCCUGGACUGCUUUGGAAACUGUAUGGCUGGAGUGCAGGAGAGGUAAGUGGAAUUCCUAGUGUAGCGGUGAAAUGCGUAGAUAUUAGGAGGAACACCAGUGGCGAAGGCGGCUUACUGGACUGUAACUGACGUUGAGGCUCGAAAGCGUGGGGAGCAAACAGGAUUAGAUACCCGUGUAGUC
rnacentral:rRNA from 1 species